GCUAUGAUACACCACAUUUAUUUUCAACAUAAUGUACUGCUGAGCAGGGUGUUGCUCUGAAUGAAACUCAGGCACUGAACCACGGUGUCUCUUACAGAGGAAUAGUGAAGAUAUACUUCAUCAUCUUGCUAGUAAAAAUAAGUAUUUCAGCGCCCUGCUCUAAUAAGAAAACAUCUGGAGUAAAAGGCGGAAGCUACAUUUGCACAGAUCUCUCUGGGAAAAACGUGAACAGCCCACAACUGAACUUCAACAAGUCAUUCUAUGGAACCAAAGAUGAGGAAACUGAGACAGAUCAAGGUGAAGAAGGGGUUUGGCCAAGGUCCUGUCCACAGAAGAGGCAGAGCUGGGAUCUGACAGAAUACCCUCUAAUGGUAAAUCCAGCAAACCGGCCAUAGCUCUAGGCUCACUUGCAAAGUCACACACACCACAUAAAACCUUCUACUAUUAAGGCGAAAAUACCUGCAACCUGGUCAUCCUGGCAGAGAAGGAGCCUCCUACAUUCAACUGUGGAGUUUGCUUUCACACCGAGGGACAACCUGAGGAGCCUCUCCCUUCCCCCAAAGUCAGCUCCCCAUGGGUAUCACCUCCUCUCCUCUCCCCUCCCCCAUAGUCUAGCUCUCCUAUGGAGUCACCUCCUUUCUGCUCCUUCCUAGUCUAGUACCAUGGAAUCACCUCCUCUCUCUCUCAUUUACCUCCUCUGCCCUCCCUACUCUCCUAUGAGCCUAGAUCCUGGCAGUGCCCCAGGCUUCCUUUCCUAUCUGCUUAUUCCCGACUGAAGGAUCUCAGAGUUGGACUGGGCCUUGGAGUCCAGCCUAUGGCUGAAAUGAAAACUCCAAGGGUUCCCAUGCUUAUUGAUUUAGAGAAUGAUUAAAUUUAAAGAGUUCGUUCAGCACCAACUCUGUCUCUGCCCUCAAGGACCUUACAGUCUAUCAGCGAAAAGACAACAUGCACAUAACAAGACAUACUGGAGACAGUCUCAGAGGGAAGGCGGUAGCAUUAAGGGGGAUGGGGGAAGGCUUUGUGCAGGAUGCAGCAUCUGCAUGGGUUUUAAAGGAUGAGAGGAAUUUCAGAGAUGGGAGAAAGGACAGAGGAAAAGGCAUUCCAGGCACAGGAAACCAAGGAAGAAGUGGAAAUACAUGUAUAGGGAACAGGCCAGCUGGGUUGCCUAGGUAGUGCUCAGAGAGGAACGGGAUGAAACAGGAGGUGAAAGGUGGCCUAGGGCCAGAAGCAGGCCUUGAAUGACAGACAAGGCUGGGCAUUUUCCCCCAGUAAAAUGAAUCCCUUGAUUUUGUCAAAGAUGAAGGGAAAUUGAUAGCUUUUUUAGGUGAGCAGAGGGAGAUAGGCUUUAAAAAAUUAAUGGAUAAAUCAUUUGUGAUUGUGGGAUUAAUAAAAAAUAACUUUUUUAACCUGUGAAAUCUAUUCCAUGUUGUAUGCCACCAGAUUUUCACUUUUGUUCCCCAAAACGAGAUCAAGAUGC